UUACAUUUGUGAUCAUAAUCUUCAUUCCUAAAAGAAGAAAUCAAAGUCUUCUUCAUCCAUAUUCAAUAUUCCCUUUGUGUUCUUCGAGUUUUAGAGAAUUCAUACAAGUGCUUAAGUAUUGAUUCUCUACAAGGCUUGAUUACUCCUACAAAUCGUUUGCCGUGAGACCCUUUGAGCAUUAAAAUUAUAUCCGAGAGGGAGCAAAUAUCGUUUGAGAACAGCGAUAUAAUGUUGUGUUUAAACCUUCAUAUUUAUUAUGAUUUUCUUCUUAUUUUCAUCUUCUUGAUUAUUUUUAUAUAUUGUUUCUUUUCCAUUUUCCUUGAUUGAUGCAAAUUUUUGAACAUUUUUUUGCAACAUUUUAUUCAUAUGGUGCCAUCCAUAUGAGCAUUCUAAAGGGGUUCUCCUCUGUACACACAGACUAAUUCCCUCUCUAUCUUUCUUAUUAUCCGUUAGAUUUUUUUUGAAAGAGACUUCUGAAAUGCAGUGUGGUAUCCAAAGCCUUCCAAACUAACCUUAAUUUUCUCUUUUUAAAGAGACGAAGUGACGUCUAGAACGUGUUUUCUUCAUCCUGCUGCGAUUUACAGCAGCUUUCUUCAAACGAGUAAAGUUGUUCAUCUUUAUUCUGUGUUGAUUUUAAAAAAGGAACAUUGAUGGAAAGUUUGAUAUUUUUGGUGAACGGAUUAUAGAGUGUUUGAACUGCACUCGGAGAUAGUGGAGAAGAUAAUGAGUUGCCUUCUCUCUGGGAUCCGCUGCCAUCUAUAUCUAGUUUAAGAAUUUCAUUAAUUUCUUAGUUUCUAUAAUUCGAUCUAAGGUCAUAGUUUUAAUUCUUUUCACUUUUGACAUCUAAUACAGGUCCUAUAGUAGAAGAUAUGUUCCAUUGGCAAGCAAUGAUUAUGAGACCUUCUGAUAGUCCUUAUUCUGGAGGUAUAUUUUUGGUUCUUUUUCCUCCCAAUUACCCUUUUAAGCCUCUGUAGGUAUGCUUGUAUCUUGUACAUUAGUUGUAUAUUACUGCCAAUCUUUGAGUCAUUUGCUCACUUGUAUUCCUUGGGACUCCAUAGUGAAAAGUAGAUAAUUGAGCAGGCAGAUAUCUUUCUUGAUACUAGGUGUUGAAAACCUUCAUAUAUUAUCAGUUUCUAAGCUAAACAUAUUAUUAGGUAGAAUGAUUUACCUUGUCCCCAAGUGCAAUUUUGCAAAUUAAGUUCACACGAGUUCAUUCUCUACUUUUCAGGGUUAUUCUUUUCCCUAUGGUGUCUUGCAAAAUGUUGUCCUGAAAUUUCAACUUCUUUUUCCCUGGAAGUUAAUUCAACUUCUUUCUUGCAGUACAGAAUAGAAUUAGUCACAUGAGUCAUCAAAAGUUGUAGAUAUAAGGCUCUAAUAGCAUGUUUGGCUAACUUGAAAGUUUUAUAAGUAAAUUAGUAAGUUUUAAAUGAAUAUAUUUUGAUCGAUGAUAGUUGAAAAUAACUAGCUUAAAAGUCCCAAAAACGGCUUCGUUUGAGCUAUUUGGAUUGUAUGAAAGAGUCAUCCUAUCAAAAAAGACAAUUAUUUUUUAGAAGAAAAAAGUCUAACGGGUGGCUUAAAGUGAUUUACCUUUUUAAGGCUUAGCCAAACAUGCACAUAUAACUUUGUGGAAACUAAUUCUAGUUUCUUCUUGUUGCUGUUGUAGUGACUAUUUAUUUUUUCUCUCCUGUCAAAUUGUUUUAUUUCUAAUAACACCCUUGCUAAUUCAAACCUUUAAUUUCAAUAUAGCAAACACGAUUAAGCUAUAAUCCUGAUCAUUCUCCAUUUUUUGCAGGUAUGAAAUAUAUAUGACCCAGUACCGAGCAAUAUUUUGUAGUCAAUUGCAAGAUUAUGAGUGAGAAAGUGUCAGAACCAAGCAAUAAACGAAAGUGGAACAAAAAAAGGUUCAAAAUAAAGCAGGUACUGCUGCUGCUGAAACAUUUAAGUGCUGUGCAGUUUGUUCAACAGAUGUGGGAGUAAUAGACAAGGAAGAAGUUUAUCAUUUCUUGAAUGUUUUUCCAAGUGAGGCUUGAUUAAGCAUCCUCUCUGUAUGAAAUUAUCGAUGUGACAAGCGUG
rnacentral:lncRNA from 1 species